rnacentral:rRNA from 1 species
CGAACGAUUUCUUCGGAAGAUAGUGCGAACGGGUGAGUAAUACAUAGGUACCUGCCCCUGUGCGGGGGAUAACAGGAGGAAACUCCUGCUAAUACCGCAUAGACCGCAUGGACAAAUAUCCUUCGGGGAUAGCGCAGGGAUGGACCUAUGGCGCAUUAGCUAGUUGGCGGGGCAACGGCCCACCAAGGCAACGAUGCGUAGCCGGCCUGAGAGGGCGGACGGCCACAUUGGGACUGAGACACGGCCCAGACUCUACGGGAGGCAGCAGUAGGGAAUUUUCGGCAAUGGGGGAAACCCUGACCGAGCAACGCCGCGUGAGCGAAGAAGGCUUCGGGUCGUAAAGCUCGUUGUAAAGGAAGAAGGCGAUCAGGAAAUGGUAUGCGAGUGACGGUACUUUACCAGAAAGCCACGGCUAACUCGUGCCAGCAGCCGCGGUAAUACGUAGGUGGCGAGCGUUAUCCGGAAUCAUUGGGCGUAAAGAGGGAGCAGGCGGCCGCAAAGGUCUGUGGUGAAAGACCGAAGCUAAACUUCGGUAAGCCAUGGAAACCGGGCGGCUAGAGUGCGGAAGAGGAUCGUGGAAUUCCAUGUGUAGCGGUGAAAUGCGUAGAUAUAUGGAGGAACACUAGUGGCGAAGCGACGGUCUGGGCCGCAACUGACGCCCAUUCCCGAAAGCGUGAGGAGCAAAUAGGAUUAGAUACCCUAGUAGUCCACGCCGUANACGAUGGUCACUAAGUGUCGGGGGUCACACNCCGGUGCUGCA